rnacentral:lncRNA from 1 species
AAAAAUUUUGUAAUUGAGAAUAUUUGUAUUCAAGAUUAUUUUAAAUGUAAGAUGGUGUCUUGUUCUUAUGUGAAGAAUAAUGUGAGAGGAAAGAUUCUUCAUAGUAAAGCAAAGCAGAUUAUACUUAAUAUUUAUGGCAGAUUGGUAGAACAGACUCCAGAUAAAUCUACAAUUUACAUCAUAGAUUUGAUGGCGGAGUUAACUGAUGUCUUGGUAAGGGCUGUUUACAGAAAUCAGGAAGGAAAUGAAGAAUGAAGGAACAAUAUUGAGACUAAACAAGUCUUUGAAACGAAAAGUCAUGAAAGAUCAUUUAAAUAGAUAUGAGAUUUUGCUAAAUCUUAUCAUUUGCAUGAAAGCACAUCACUAUUUUUUCUGUAAUGAAUGCCCCAUUAUAAAUCAUCUAUUGAUAGAUAUAAAU